rnacentral:tRNA from 1 species
GAGGACAUAGAUCAGUGGUAGAGUGUUUACCUAGCAUGCAUGAGGCCCUGGGUUCAACUCCCAGGGCCUCA